rnacentral:tRNA from 1 species
CCGUCGAUAGCUCAGUUGGUAGAGCGGUGGACUGUAGUGGUCAUUUCUGUAGUUAUCCAUAGGUCGCUGGUUCAAAUCCGGCUCGACGGA